CCUACGGGAGUCAGCAGUGAGGAAUAUUGGUCAAUGGACGAGAGUCUGAACCAGCCAAGUAGCGUGAAGGAUGACUGCCCUAUGGGUUGUAAACUUCUUUUAUAUGGGAAUAAAAUGUUCCACGUGUGGGCUUUUGUAUGUACCAUAUGAAUAAGGAUCGGCUAACUCCGUGCCAGCAGCCGCGGUAAUACGGAGGAUCCGAGCGUUAUCCGGAUUUAUUGGGUUUAAAGGGUGCGCAGGCGGAUUUUUAAGUCAGCGGUCAAAUCGUGGGGCACAACCCCAUCCAGCCGGUGAAACUGGGGAUCUAGAGUGUGCGAGAGGUAUGCGGAAUGCGUGGUGUAGCGGUGAAAUGCAUAGAUAUCACGCAGAACCCCGAUUGCGAAGGCAGCAUACCGGUGCACAACUGACGCUCAGGCACGAAAGCGUGGGUAUCGAACAGGAUUAGAUACCCUUGUAGUC
rnacentral:rRNA from 1 species